UACGGGGGGGGCAAGCGUUGUUCGGAAUUACUGGGCGUAAAGGGCUCGUAGGUGGCCAACUAAGUCAGACGUGAAAUCCCUCGGCUUAACCGGGGAACUGCGUCUGAUACUGGAUGGCUAGAGAUUGGGAGAGGGAUGCGGAAUUCCAGGUGUAGCGGUGAAAUGCGCAGAUAUCAGGAGGAACACCGGUGGCGAAGGCGGGUCUCUGGGCCGAAAUUGACGCUGAGGAGCGAAAGCGUGGGGAGCAAACAGG
rnacentral:rRNA from 1 species